GACGAACGCUGGCGGCGUGCUUAACACAUGCAAGUCGAACGGAAAGGCCCUGCUUUUGUGGGGUGCUCGAGUGGCGAACGGGUGUGUAACACGUGAGUAACCUGCCCUUGACUUUGGGAUAACUUCAGGAAACUGGGGCUAAUACCGGAUAGGAGCUCCUGCUGCAUGGUGGGGGUUGGAAAGUUUCGGCGGUUGGGGAUGGACUCGCGGCUUAUCAGCUUGUUGGUGGGGUAGUGGCUUACCAAGGCUUUGACGGGUAGCCGGCCUGAGAGGGUGACCGGCCACAUUGGGACUGAGAUACGGCCCAGACUCCUACGGGAGGCAGCAGUGGGGAAUAUUGCACAAUGGGCGGAAGCCUGAUGCAGCAACGCCGCGUGCGGGAUGACGGCCUUCGGGUUGUAAACCGCUUUCGCCUGUGACGAAGCGUGAGUGACGGUAAUGGGUAAAGAAGCACCGGCUAACUACGUGCCAGCAGCCGCGGUGAUACGUAGGGUGCGAGCGUUGUCCGGAUUUAUUGGGCGUAAAGGGCUCGUAGGUGGUUGAUCGCGUCGGAAGUGUAAUCUUGGGGCUUAACCCUGAGCGUGCUUUCGAUACGGGUUGACUUGAGGAAGGUAGGGGAGAAUGGAAUUCCUGGUGGAGCGGUGGAAUGCGCAGAUAUCAGGAGGAACACCAGUGGCGAAGGCGGUUCUCUGGGCCUUUCCUGACGCUGAGGAGCGAAAGCGUGGGGAGCGAACAGGCUUAGAUACCCUGGUAGUCCACGCUGUAAACGGUGGGUACUAGGUGUGGGGUCCAUUCCACGGGUUCCGUGCCGUAGCUAACGCUUUAAGUACCCCGCCUGGGGAGUACGGCCGCAAGGCUAAAACUCAAAGGAAUUGACGGGGCCCCGCACAAGCGGCGGAGCAUGCGGAUUAAUUCGAUGCAACGCGUAGAACCUUACCUGGGUUUGACAUGGAUCGGGAGCGCUCAGAGAUGGGUGUGCCUCUUUUGGGGUCGGUUCACAGGUGGUGCAUGGCUGUCGUCAGCUCGUGUCGUGAGAUGUUGGGUUAAGUCCCGCAACGAGCGCAACCCUUGUUCACUGUUGCCAGCACGUUAUGGUGGGGACUCAGUGGAGACCGCCGGGGUCAACUCGGAGGAAGGUGGGGAUGACGUCAAGUCAUCAUGCCCCUUAUGUCCAGGGCUUCACGCAUGCUACAAUGGCUGGUACAGAGAGUGGCGAGCCUGUGAGGGUGAGCGAAUCUCGGAAAGCCGGUCUCAGUUCGGAUUGGGGUCUGCAACUCGACCUCAUGAAGUCGGAGUCGCUAGUAAUCGCAGAUCAGCAACGCUGCGGUGAAUACGUUCCCGGG
rnacentral:rRNA from 1 species